GCAGUGAUGGCUCAGUGGUAGAGUUCUCUCCUUCCAUGUGAGAGACCCAGAUUUGAUUCCCAGCCAAUGCA
rnacentral:tRNA from 1 species